rnacentral:rRNA from 1 species
GGACUACACGGGUAUCUAAUCCUGUUUGCUACCCACGCUUUCGUGUCUCAGCGUCAGUUACUGUCCAGAGAGCCGUCUACACCACAGGUGUUCCUCCUGAUAUCUACGCAUUUCACCGCUACACCAGGAAUUCCACUCUCCCAUCCAGUACUCUAGCCCUCCAGUUUUCGGCGCACCCUCCCAGUUGAGCCGGGAGAUUUCACACCAAACUUAGAGAACCGCCUACACACCCUUUACGCCCAGUAACUCCGAACAACGCUUGCUGCCUACGUAUUACCGCGGCGGCUGGCAC